rnacentral:snoRNA from 1 species
CUGCAUGAGGCAAACCCCGGGCUUGUCUGAUUAUAUGGGUGACGAAGAAAGCCCCAGUUCUCGUGCUAAAUCGCUGCCGUUCGUGUUACAGUUCUGCCCCUUGGCUGAUCUGCGUCAAAUCAACGGCCACAUGU